GAUGAAGAACGCAGCAAAAUGCGAUAAGUAAUGUGAAUUGCAGAAUUCAGUGAAUCAUCGAAUCUUUGAACGCACAUUGCGCCCGCCAGUAUUCUGGCGGGCAUGCCUGUUCGAGCGUCAUUUCAACCCUCAAGCCCUCGGGUUUGGUGUUGGGGAUCGGCGAGCCUUUCUGGCAAGCCGGCCCCGAAAUCUAGUGGCGGUCUCGCUGCAGCCUCCAUUGCGUAGUAGUAAAACCCUCGCAACUGGAACGCGGCGCGGCCAAGCCGUUAAACCCCCAACUUCUGAAUGUUGACCUCGGAUCAGGUAGGAAUACCCGCUGAACUUAAGCAUAUCAAUAAGGGAGGA
rnacentral:misc_RNA from 1 species